GAUGAACGCUGGCGGCGUGCCUAAUACAUGCAAGUCGAGCGAAUGGAUUAAGAGCUUGCUCUUAUGAAGUUAGCGGCGGACGGGUGAGUAACACGUGGGUAACCUGCCCAUAAGACUGGGAUAACUCCGGGAAACCGGGGCUAAUACCGGAUAACAUUUUGAACCGCAUGGUUCGAAAUUGAAAGGCGGCUUCGGCUGUCACUUAUGGAUGGACCCGCGUCGCAUUAGCUAGUUGGUGAGGUAACGGCUCACCAAGGCAACGAUGCGUAGCCGACCUGAGAGGGUGAUCGGCCACGCUGGGACUGAGACACGGCCCAGACUCCUACGGGAGGCAGCAGUAGGGAAUCUUCCGCAAUGAACGAAAGUCUGACGGAGCAACGCCGCGUGAGUGAUGAAGGCUUUCGGGUCGUAAAACUCUGUUGUUAGGGAAGAACAAGUGCUAGUUGAACAAGCUGGCACCUUGACGGUACCUAACCAGAAAGCCACGGCUAACUACGUGCCAGCCGCCGCGGUAA
rnacentral:rRNA from 1 species